GUACUUGUAUUCAUCUGUCCUCGUCUCUUCUGGAAACACACAAGAAUCUCGAAUUCAAAACUUGCCUAGUAGAUCGAUGGUGUCAAAAGCAAACCAAAUAAUUCUUGCUCCUUUUAAUCCUAGUGUUCUUUACAAGUCGGGAGCACUAAGUGUGGAUACAACGUCAUGAGGUUUAUGAGAGAAAUUGUGACUAAGGGAAGCAUUUCCAUAUCGGAUUCGAUUGAUACACAAAGAUCAUACUCACAGGCCGAGUUAGACGAGGUGGGGUUGAGUUAAUUGGCCUUUUAGGUUCGUAAAUGCGAUUGCGACUUAUUUAUGAUUUUGAAGUAGGAAACUUUUU